GAUGAACGCUGGCGGCGUGCCUAAUACAUGCAAGUCGAACGCUCAAAGGGGAGCUUGCUUCUCUGGAUGAGUUGCGAACGGGUGAGUAACGCAUAGGUAACCUGCCUGGUAGCGGGGGAUAACUAUUGGAAACGAUAGCUAAUACCCCAUAAAAGUAGAUGUUGCAUGACAUUUGCUUAAAAGGUGCAGUUGUAUCAUUACCAGAUGGACCUGCGUCGCAUUAGUUGGUUGGUGGGGUAACGGCUCAACAAGGAGACGAUACAUCGCCGACCCGGGAGGGUGGACGGGCAAACUGGGACUGGGGCAAGGCCCAAGCUUCCUCGGGGAGCAAGAGGAGGGGAACUUCGGCCAAGGGGGGAAAGCUGACCGAAGAAAGCCGGGGUGGUGAAGGAAGGUUUCGGGUCGUAAAACUCUGUUUUAAGGGAAGGAAGAGUUGGGGAGUUGAAAGUUCACGCUGUGACGGUACCUUACCAGAAAGCGACGGCUAACUACGUG
rnacentral:rRNA from 1 species